UUGUCCCUCAAGAUUGUCUGUAUAAAUAUAUAUUGCAUGGUGAUACCAAACACUAUUAUUGUAUUGAAUGUUAAGGCCUUUUUUUAGAGUGUGGAAGUAAUAUAUUGGGUUCUUUCAAGAUUGUUUUUUUUUUUUUUCCAUGAAUUGAAUGUACAACUUCAAACUCAAGCCAUUCUUAGACUAAAGUGGAAACCCAAAUCAAAGCCUGCCAUUAACGAAAUUUUCUCUUUUUAAAAAAAGAAAAAAGAAAAAAAGAAAAGAAAAGAAAGAUAAAGUAAAAAAGGCCGUAGGAACUCAAUACAUAAAACUGAGAUUCAAAGAUU
rnacentral:lncRNA from 1 species